rnacentral:rRNA from 1 species
CCUACGGGAGGCAGCAGUGGGGAAUAUUGCACAAUGGGCGAAAGCCUGAUGCAGCGACGCCGCGUGAGUGAAGAAGUAUUUCGGUAUGUAAAGCUCUAUCAGCAGGGAAGAAAAUGACGGUACCUGACUAAGAAGCACCGGCUAAAUACGUGCCAGCAGCCGCGGUAAU